UACGUAGGUGGCAAGCGUUGUCCGGAUUUACUGGGCGUAAAGAGCGCGCAGGCGGUCGUUCAAGUCGCGUGUGAAAGCCCCCGGCUCAACUGGGGAGGGUCACGCGAUACUGAUCGACUCGAAGGCAGGAGAGGGUAGUGGAAUUCCCGGUGUAGUGGUGAAAUGCGUAGAUAUCAGGAGGAACACCGGUGGCGAAGGCGGCUACCUGGACAGAGUCUGACGCUGAGGCACGAAAGCUAGGGGAGCAAACAGG
rnacentral:rRNA from 1 species